rnacentral:tRNA from 1 species
GCGGGAGUAGCUCAAUGGUAGAGUGCCAGCCUUCCAAGCUGGCGAUGUGGGUUCGAUUCCCAUCUCCCGCUCCA